rnacentral:rRNA from 1 species
GAUGAACGCUAGCUACAGGCUUAACACAUGCAAGUCGAGGGGCAUCAGUUUGGUUUGCUUGCAAACCAAAGCUGGCGACCGGCGCACGGGUGAGUAACACGUAUCCAACCUGCCUCAUACUCGGGGAUAGCCUUUCGAAAGAAAGAUUAAUAUCCGAUAGCAUAUAUUUCCCGCAUGGGUUUUAUAUUAAAGAAAUUCGGUAUGAGAUGGGGAUGCGUUCCAUUAGUUUGUUGGCGGGGUAACGGCCUACCAAGACUACGAUGGAUAGGGGUUCUGAGAGGAAGGUCCCCCACAUUGGAACUGAGACACGGUCCAAACUCCUACGGGAGGCAGCAGUGAGGAAUAUUGGUCAAUGGACGCGAGUCUGAACCAGCCAAGUAGCGUGAAGGAUGACUGCCCUAUGGGUUGUAAACUUCUUUUAUAUGGGAAUAAAGUGGUCCACGUGUGGAUUUUUGUAUGUACCAUAUGAAUAAGGAUCGGCUAACUCCGUGCCAGCAGCCGCGGUAAUACGGAGGAUCCGAGCGUUAUCCGGAUUUAUUGGGUUUAAAGGGAGCGUAGGCGGAUUGUUAAGUCAGUUGUGAAAGUUUGCGGCUCAACCGUAAAAUUGCAGUUGAUACUGGCAGUCUUGAGUGCAGUAGAGGUGGGCGGAAUUCGUGGUGUAGCGGUGAAAUGCUUAGAUAUCACGAAGAACUCCGAUU